AUUGAACGCUGGCGGCAGGCCUAACACAUGCAAGUCGAGCGGAUGAAGGGAGCUUGCUCCUGGAUUCAGCGGCGGACGGGUGAGUAAUGCCUAGGAAUCUGCCUGGCAGUGGGGGAUAACGUCCGGAAACGGGCGCUAAUACCGCAUACGUCCUGAGGGAGAAAGUGGGGGAUCUUCGGACCUCACGCUAUCAGAUGAGCCUAGGUCGGAUUAGCUAGUUGGUGGGGUAAAGGCCUACCAAGGCGACGAUCCGUAACUGGUCUGAGAGGAUGAUCAGUCACACUGGAACUGAGACACGGUCCAGACUCCUACGGGAGGCAGCAGUGGGGAAUAUUGGACAAUGGGCGAAAGCCUGAUCCAGCCAUGCCGCGUGUGUGAAGAAGGUCUUCGGAUUGUAAAGCACUUUAAGUUGGGAGGAAGAGCAGUAAGUUAAUACCUUGCUGUUUUGACGUUACCAACAGAAUAAGCACCGGCUAACUUCGUG
rnacentral:rRNA from 1 species